ACUUAUAGACUGUCUGUCUUGGAACCAUUGCUCAGAGUGGUACUUCCAAAUUCUCGAACGCUCUUAAGGUUUCAUUUUGUAUUCAUGAUUGCUGUUUGUUGUAAUUGUAGAUGCUUUAGCUGUUAACUCUGAUGGUCGUUACUUGACGACUAGAGGAGUUGAUCGCCAUGUUCAUAAGGUCCAAUCUGUUUCAGCUUUUAUGAUUAUGUGUCUACAGACCUUUACAGGUCACAGGAACACUGUUUUUUCCCUAUGUUUCAGACACAGAACUGCAGAGCUCUACUCUGGUUCAUUUGAUCGAAGUGUCAAGGCGUGCACUUACGGUUGGGAGAGAUAGAAUCAUGCAACUACACAAGUUUGUGUAUUGUGUUACAGGAAGGUAGACAAGGCAGAGAAGCUUGAUGGAGGAGAAGGUGGCAAAAGGGGUGAGUCAUUAGUGGCGAGGACAUUAGGUGUUUAGAGUGGAGAAGGUCCAAGCUCCGGUAUGUGACUAGAAGACGGUGACGUUGGAGAUAGAACUUUGGGUUUAGAAUUUUAGGUGUAGGUUUAAUUGUUUUUAAAAAAAUUAGUUAAGUUUGAUAUACCUGUCAUAACUAUGUAACCAAUUUCAAUAUAUAAAAAAUUUAAUAUAAAUUUGUAUUUUUAUAUAUAUAUUUUUUUUAAUUUUUAAUAAUGCCAAUUAUUGUAUGAAUAAUCUUUGUAUGUUCUUGAAUUCUCAAUGUAUUUAAUAAAAUUUUUAUGUCAUUUUUAUGUUAUCUAUUCUUAAUGUAUUGAAUAAUUUUUUUUAAAAAAUUAUAAAAAAUUAUUAUAUUUUAUUCAUGUAUUGUUAAUUAAUUGAAAGUUUAAAAAAAUAUAAAUAAUAAUAUUUUAUUUUUAUGAAUCCUUGCUUGAGAUUCACUAAUGCAAGAACACAAUAAAUAGAGGUUCAACACUAUUUAUGGUUUCACUAAAAAAAUAUUAAAAAAUUCUUAUGAACCCCCAUGUGCGGAUGCUCUUACUAUCCUCUAUCGUCUUCUGGGUUUCUGGCCAACUCUUCCUCUACCCACCUCCUAGAAGCUUCUCUGGUAACGCUUAAGAUCCAGAUUUAUGGCUUCGUUACUCUCAAUUCCAAUUCAAUAUCAUUCUCAGUUUUAAGUCUCCCUUCCAAUUUUUUUUUUUAUUUUGAAGACGGUUCUAAAUCGUAAUCAGAUUACGGAGAGGCUUCGGACUCUCAGGUGCAAAGGCAGAGAGGAAUGACGCAGAAGAUGAGCCUCAUGCUAAAUGGGGAUUUUCUUCGGCGGCUGUUAAGGAGACUCAAGUUGAAGGUGAAGAUCAAAAGUGACAAGAAGCUAGAUGGUCAGCAUAGUGGAAGUUGGUUCCAGAGGCAUGCCGAACAAAGAGGGAUCAAUAAGGGUUAUGAAGCUAUGGCAUUUCCUGAGUUUGCACCGAGCCAUUUUCCUAAGAAUAUGAAUCCUAAAAUGGUUAAUAGGAACAGAAGAAUGCUGGGUAUUUUCAUUCCUUUUAAAAUCUAUAAUGGUUUUGAUCACGACUAUGGUGGCAUGUAUAUGGUUUUAAAUUAGAGUACCUUUCUUUCUUUCUAA